rnacentral:rRNA from 1 species
GUGAGGAAUAUUGGACAAUGGAGGAAACUCUGAUCCAGCCAUGCCGCGUGAGUGAUGAAGGCCUUCGGGUUGUAAAGCUCUUUCGGGUGUGAAAAUGAUGAUGGUAACACCAGAAGAAGCCCCGGCUAACUCCGUGCCAGCAGCCGCGGUAAUACGGAGGGGGCGAGCGUUGUUCGGAAUCACUGGGCGUAAAGCGUGCGUAGGCGGUUAUACAAGUCAGGAGUGAAAUCCCAGGGCUCAACCUUGGAAUUGCUUUUGAGACUGUAUGACUAGAGAUCUAGAGAGGUUGGGGGAAUUCCGAGUGUAGAGGUGAAAUUCGCAGAUAUUCGGAGGAACACCAGUGGCGUAGGCGCCCAACUGGCUAGAUACUGACGCUGAGGCACGAAAGCGUGGGGAGCAACAGGAUUAGAAACCCUGGUAGUCC